CAGAGUAAAUAACUAAUCAUCAUUUGCAGGUGAUCCAUGGGAGAUGGGCAAUGUUGGGAGCUUUUGGUUGCAUAACCCCUGAAGUUCUUCAAAAGUGGGUCCGUGUGGACUUCAAAGAACCAGUCUGGUUCAAAGCCGGUUCACAAAUCUUCUCCGAAGGCGGUUUGGACUACUUAGGCAACCCAAACCUAGUCCAUGCUCAGAGCAUUUUAGCCGUCCUUGGCUUCCAAGUCAUCCUCAUGGGUUUGGUUGAAGGUUUCCGCAUCAACGGUCUUGAUGGUGUUGGCGAAGGCAACGACUUGUACCCCGGUGGGCAAUACUUUGACCCGUUGGGUCUCGCUGAUGAUCCAGUUACUUUUGCUGAGCUUAAGGUGAAAGAGAUCAAGAACGGAAGAUUGGCUAUGUUCUCUAUGUUUGGCUUCUUUGUUCAAGCCAUUGUUACUGGAAAAGGUCCUUUGGAGAAUCUCCUUGACCAUCUUGACAACCCUGUUGCUAACAAUGCGUGGGCUUUCGCAACUAAGUUUGCACCUGGAGCUUAAAUUUUCAAGUCUUGAUGUGAUUCUUGUAAUGAUAUGAACAUAACCUUUCUUGUUCCUCUCAAAUUACAAAUCUUCUAUUUGCUAUGCACAGAAGAAGUCUCAAA
rnacentral:sRNA from 1 species